UACAGAGGUCUCAAGCGUUUGUUCGGAUUCAUUGGGCGUAAAGGGUGCGUAGGUGGCGCUGUAAGUCAGGUGUGAAAUUUCGGAGCUUAACUCCGAAACUGCAUUUGAUACUGCGGUGCUCGAGGACUGGAGAGGAGACUGGAAUUUACGGUGUAGCAGUGAAAUGCGUAGAGAUCGUAAGGAAGACCAGUGGCGAAGGCGGGUCUCUGGACAGUUCCUGACACUGAGGCAACGAAGGCCAGGGGAGCAAACGGG
rnacentral:rRNA from 1 species